UACGUAGGCAGCAAGCGUUGUUCGGAGUUACUGGGCGUAAAGGGCGCGUAGGCGGUUCGCUAAGUUGGAUGUGAAAACUCUGGGCUCAACCCAGAGCCUGCAUCCAAAACUGGCGGGCUAGAGUUCUGGAGGGGGUAGCGGAAUUCCUGGUGUAGCGGUGAAAUGCGUAGAUAUCAGGAGGAACACCGGUGGCGAAGGCGGCUACCUGGACAGAAACUGACGCUGAGGCGCGAAAGCUAGGGGAGCAAACAGG
rnacentral:rRNA from 1 species